GGCGCGGUAGCUCAGCUGGUUAGAGCGCAUGAUUCAUAAUCCUGAGGUCGGGAGUUCAAGUCUCCCCCGCGCUACCA
rnacentral:tRNA from 1 species